AUUGAACGCUGGCGGCAUGCCUUACACAUGCAAGUCGAACGGUAACAGGUCUUCGGAUGCUGACGAGUGGCGAACGGGCGAGUAAUACAUCGGAACGUGCCCGAUCGUGGGGGAUAACGGAGCGAAAGCUUUGCUAAUACCGCAUACGAUCUACGGAUGAAAGCAGGGGACCGCAAGGCCUAGCUCGGACGGAGGGGCCGGUGGCCGGGGAGGUAGUUGGUGGGAUAACAGCUUACCAAGCCGACGAUCUGUAGCCGUUCUGAGAGGACGAACAGCCACACUGGGACUGAGACGCGGCCCAGGCUCCUACGGGCGGCAGCAGUGGGGACUUUUGGACACUGGGCGAAAGCCUGAUCCAGCCAUGCCGCGUGCAGGAUGAAGGCCUUCGGGUUGUAAACUGCUUUUGUACGGAACGAAAAGACUCUUUCUAAUAAAGAGGGUCCAUGACGGUACCGUAAGAAUAAGCCCCGGCUACCUACGU
rnacentral:rRNA from 1 species